UACGUAGGGGGCUAGCGUUGUCCGGAAUCAUUGGGCGUAAAGCGCGUGUAGGCGGCCUGUUGCGUCCGCUGUGAAAGCCCGGGGCUUAACCCCGGGUCGGCAGUGGAUACGGGCAGGCUAGAGGUAGGUAGGGGAGAAUGGAAUUCCCGGUGUAGCGGUGAAAUGCGCAGAUAUCGGGAGGAACACCGGUGGCGAAGGCGGUUCUCUGGGCCUUACCUGACGCUGAGGAGCGAAAGCGUGGGGAGCGAACAGG
rnacentral:rRNA from 1 species